ACUGAGGGUGCGAGCGUUAAUCGGAAUUACUGGGCGUAAAGCGAGUGUAGGCGGCUUCGUAAGUCGGAUGUGAAAGCCCUGGGCUUAACCUGGGAAUGCCAUUCGAUACUGCGCGGCUAGAGUUUGAUAGAGGAAAGUGGAAUUCCAGGUGUAGCGGUGAAAUGCGUAGAUAUCUGGAGGAACAUCAGUGGCGAAGGCGGCUUUCUGGAUCAAAACUGACGCUGAGGCUCGAAAGCGUGGGUAGCAAACAGG
rnacentral:rRNA from 1 species